UCACCAAUUAUGUGAUUGUCUCUCAAUAUAUUAUUUUAUUUUCUCUAAGCUGUUAUGGUUAUUUGUGUUUGCCAAAUGCUUUUAGGUUUUGAUAUUCAGUCAGUGGACCAAAGUGUUAGACAUACUGGAUUACUAUUUUAGUGAGAAAGGCUUUGAAGUUUGUGAAAUUGAUGGUAGUGUUAGACAUACUGCAUUAGCAUGAGCCGUUAAUCUAGAUUUAUUUGUUGCUCUUGUUAUAAGUUUUAUAUACUUCUUUAGAUUUUUAAUCCAAUAAUCUAGAAUUAUU